AUUGAACGCUGGCGGAAUGCUUUACACAUGCAAGUCGAGCGGGGUGAUGGUGCUUGCACUAUCACUUAGCGGCGGACGGGUGAGUAAUGCUUAGGAAUCUGCCUAUUAGUGGGGGACAACAUCUCGAAAGGGAUGCUAAUACCGCAUACGUCCUACGGGAGCACGCAGGGGAUCACUUGUGACCUUGCGCUAAUAGAUGAGCCUAAGUCGGAUUAGCUAGUUGGUGGGGUAAAGGCCUACCAAGGCGACGAUCUGUAGCGGGUCUGAGAGGAUGAUCCGCCCCACUGGGACUGAGACACGGCCCAGACUCCUACGGGAGGCAGCAGUGGGGAAUAUUGGGCAAUGGGGGGAACCCUGAUCCAGCCAUGCCGCGUGUGUGAAGAAGGCCUUAUGGUUGUAAAGCACUUUAAGCGAGGAGGAGGCUCUUUUGGUUAAUACCCAAGAUGAGUGGACGUUACUCGCAGAAUAAGCACCGGCUAACUCUGUGCCAGCAGCCGCCGUAA
rnacentral:rRNA from 1 species